rnacentral:rRNA from 1 species
CUUAGGAUGAACGCUAGCGACAGGCCUAACACAUGCAAGUCGAGGGGCAGCACAAGGAGCAAUCUGAGGUGGCGACCGGCGCACGGGUGAGUAACACGUAUGCAACCUGCCUGUAAGCGGGGAAUAACCCGUUGAAAGACGGACUAAUACCGCAUAAUACUAAAUUACUGCAUGGUAAUUUAUUUAAACAUUUAUGGCUUACAGAUGGGCAUGCGCAUGAUUAGCUAGUUGGAGAGGUAACGGCUCCCCAAGGCAACGAUCAUUAGGGGUUCUGAGAGGAAGGUCCCCCACACUGGUACUGAGACACGGACCAGACUCCUACGGGAGGCAGCAGUGAGGAAUAUUGGUCAAUGGACGAGAGUCUGAACCAGCCAAGUCGCGUGCAGGAAGAAUGUCCUAAUGGAUUGUAAACUGCUUUUGCAGGGGAAUAAAGUGCAUCACGUGUGAUGUUUUGUAUGUACUCUGCGAAUAAGGAUCGGCUAACUCCGUGCCAGCAGCUGC